UGCCAGCCGCCGCGGUAAUACGGAGGGUGCAAGCGUUAUCCGGAAUCACUGGGUUUAAAGGGUGCGUAGGCGGUCCGACAAGUCAGAGGUGAAAUGCACGAGCUUAACUGGUGAAUUGCCUUUGAAACUGUCGAGCUAGAAUUAUGUUGAGGUCAGCGGAAUGAGUCAUGUAGCGGUGAAAUGCAUAGAUAUGACUUAGAACACCAAUUGCGUAGGCAGCUGGCUGGGCAUAUAUUGACGCUGAGGCACGAAAGCGUGGGGAGCGAACAGGAUUAGAUA
rnacentral:rRNA from 1 species